UACAGAGGUGGCAAGCGUUGUUCGGAAUUACUGGGCGUAAAGGGCGCGUAGGCGGCCAUCUAAGUCAGACGUGAAAUCCCCCGGCUUAACCUGGGAACUGCGUCUGAUACUGGAAGGCUUGAGUAUGGGAGAGGGAUGUAGAAUUCCAGGUGUAGCGGUGAAAUGCGUAGAUAUCCGGAGGAACACCGGUGGCGAAGGCGGCUUCCUGGACCGACACUGACGCUGAGGCGCGAAAGCUAGGGGAGCAAACGGG
rnacentral:rRNA from 1 species